rnacentral:rRNA from 1 species
UACGUAGGGUCCAAGCGUUAUCCGGAAUCACUGGGCGUAAAGCGCACGUAGGCGGACUGUUAAGUCGGGGGUGAAAUCCUGGGGCUCAACCUCAGAAUUGCCUCCGAUACUGGCAGUCUCGAGUGCGGGAGAGGUGAGUGGAACUCCCAGUGUAGAGGUGAAAUUCGUAGAUAUUGGGAAGAACACCAGUGGCGAAGGCGGCUCACUGGCCCGUAACUGACGCUGAGGUGCGAAAGCGUGGGGAGCAAACAGG